CAAUGCACUUAGACUAUAUAAGUGAGGUUGUGAGGUCACCCAGUUCUAGAAGGAAGGAAGAAAGAACGAAAGAACACGUUCUCUCUCAAACAUGGAUCCUAGCUUAUAAUGUGUGUGUCUGUUGGGGGUGUUGUCAGUUUGGAUAUAGUACAGUGGUUCUCAACCUUCCUGAUGCUGUGACCCUUUAAUACAGCUCCUCAUGUUGUGGUGACUCCCAACCGUAACAUUUCAUUGCUACUUCAUAACUGUCAUUGUGCUACUGUUAUGAGUCAUAAUGUAAAGAUCUGUGUUUUCUGAUGGUCUUCUGGGACCCUGGGAAGGGCUCAUUUGAUUCCCAGGUUGAGAAUCACUGAUACUGGAAUAUUUAGAAAGGAGACCAAGAAAGGGCAGCCUUGGGUGAGGCGAAAGGGACGGGCACAUAAGAGAGGAUGUAAAGCUAUUGUGUUCCUGGUCUCAGCUCUGUCAUUGGGUUUUCCUGUUUCUGUGGUGGAGCUAGAGAGAUGUCUCCAAGGUGAACAGGACUUGGUGCGUUUAGAGAAGACUGAAGUUCAGCUCCCGCACCCACGAGGAGUGGGGAGGCUCAUGACGGCUUGUAAAAAUAAAUC